GGGGAGGGGCGGCGAGGCGAGGCCUGCGGAGCGGAGGAAGACAAACAUAAAGAUGAAGUGCUUAAUUCAAGGUCACACAAUGUCGGGGAUGGACCUCCAGAUUUCCUUACUGACCUGCAUUAUCUUGUGGAUACCUGAGUGAAUUCCACACCACCCAUUUUAUAGAUGAAACCACUGAGACAUGGAGCAACUGACUGAGUAGUCACUGCCCCACCCCUGCCUGGAGCCUCACACAUGACUCGUCUCCUCUCAGUGACCACAGGAAAACAAGCUCAGGGCUCCCACUGAUUGUACAUUAUGACCAAGUGUGUUGGGGACUUGAGAUGCGUACAUGAGUGUUUGUGAUGUUUCCUGCCGAAAGCACAGGUGAGACGUGGUCUUGUAACACAGUGGUUAAGAAUGUGACUUUGGAGCCAGCCUGCUAGGGGCUGAAUUCUGACUCAGCCAUUUACUAACUGUGUGACCUUAGGUCACAGAAUUUUCCACACUCCUUGACGGAGGUGCUUAACCCUUAUCCAUCAGCAUUCUCAGACAGCACCUCCGGUUAGGGACAGUAUCUGACCGUCCGACAUCCCUGCAGCCCCCAUGUGUCACACAGACUCAGCCUCAGGUAGAUGGUUUCCGUAGAUGGUGGCUUUCUUUGGACCCUUGACAUCAACCAGUUACUAUUUGGGGACCAGAUGUGCAGAGGUAAUGAAUACCAGGGAAUCAGGAAACCACUGGAUCAGUUCUUUGAGCCACAGAACAAC
rnacentral:antisense_RNA from 1 species